GAUGCACUUCCAUGACUGCUUUGUUAGAGUGGGUGAUUCCUCACAUUUUGCUUUUUAUCACCUCUCUCUCUCUCUCUCUCUCUCGUUCUUCUCUCUAGUAAGUAAAGUAGCUAUUUGUUUAUUACUUUUACUUACGUACGUUUAAGUUUAGGUACGGUAGGUAAAAGUAAGUACUAUUUUUAGUUUUUAUUUUUUAACGUUUCGUNNNNNNNNNNNNNNNNNNNNUCUAGUUUUACGUUUCUACGAAGUGUCGACUUACCUACUGUACGUACGUCGUUGUUUGUAGUAGGUGGUAGUCUUCCUACACUUUGUUCUUUCUUUCUACUCCUCUCUCUCUCUCUCUCUCUCUCGCUUUCUCUCAUGGAAAAUAGCAUUUUGUAUCUUUUACUGCUUAAGUUGCGUGGAAAAUAGCAUUUUGUAUUUUUUACUGCUUAAGUUGCAUGGAAAAUAGCAUUUUGUAGUUUUUACAUUUGCUAAUUUGAAAUAUAAAGAGCCCCAAAAACAGUUUGAUAAAGCUGCUUAAACUUUCACAGCAGUAGUAAUGGAUGUCUAAAGACUUGCUUUUAAACUGAAAUUUCAAGUUCAGAGUAGCUGGAAUUUUGACAUUUUUAAAGGUGGUCCUUCUUUCAUCUGGGAGAAAAACCACAACAUACAUUUUUUUGCAGUUUCAUGGUUACAUUCUCUUAGAUUAGGCAAUAUUUUGGCACAUUGCUCUCUCUCUUUCAUGUUUCUUGUGGUUGUGUGGCUUAUUUCUCAGGGA
rnacentral:lncRNA from 1 species